AGUCCGUACGAGCGCACCCUUGUCCCUAGUUGCCAGCACUUCGGGUGGGAACUCUAGGGAGACUGCCGGUGAUAAACCGGAGGAAGGUGGGGAUGACGUCAAGUCAUCAUGGCCCUUAUGGGGAGGGCUACACACGUGCUACAAUGGCCGGUACAGAGGGCUGCGAAGCCGCGAGGUGGAGCGAAUCUCAGAAAACCGGUCGUAGUCCGGAUUGCAGUCUGCAACUCGACUGCAUGAAGCCGGAAUCGCUAGUAAUCGCGGAUCAGAACGCCGCGGUGAAUACGUUCCCGGGCCUUGUACACACCGCCCGUCACACCAUGGGAGUGGGCUGUACCAGAAGUAGGUAGUCUAACCUUCGGGAGGACGCUUAUCACGGUAUGGUUCAUGACUGGGGUGAAGUCGUAACAAGGUAGCCCUAGGGGAACCUGGGGCUGGAUCACCUCCUUU
rnacentral:rRNA from 1 species